CAGUAGCCGCGGGAAUACAGAGGAUGCAAGCGUUAUCCGGAAUGAUUGGGCGUAAAGCGUCUGUAGGUGGCUUUUCAAGUCCGCCGUCAAAUCCCCGGGCUCAACCCUGGACAGGCAGUGGAAACUACCAAGCUGGAGUACGGUAGGGGCAGAGGGAAUUUCCAGUGGAGCGGUGAAAUGCGUAGAGAUGUGGAGGAACACCAGUGGCGAAGGCGACUCUCUGGUCUGUAACUGACGCUGAGGAGCGAAAGCGUGGGGAGCGAAUAGGAUUAGAUACCCCCGUAGUCCCUGUCUCUUAUAC
rnacentral:rRNA from 1 species